CACGUAGGCACCAAGCGUUGUCCGGAUUUAUUGGGCGUAAAGAGCUCGUAGGCGGUUCGGUAAGUCGGGUGUGAAAACUCUGGGCUCAACCCAGAGCCGCCACCCGAUACUGCUGUGACUCGAGUGCGGUAGGGGAGCGGGGAAUUCCUGGUGUAGCGGUGAAAUGCGUAGAGAUCAGGAAGAACACCGGUGGCGAAAGCGCUCUGCUGGACCUUAACUGACACUGAGGGACGAAAGCUAGGGGAGCGAAUGGG
rnacentral:rRNA from 1 species